GACAGAGGGGGCAAGCGUUGCUCGGAAUUACUGGGCGUAAAGGGCGCGUAGGCGGGAUGGCAAGUCGGUCGUGAAAUCCUUCGGCUCAACCGAAGAACGUCGAUCGAUACUGCUGUUCUUGAGGGUUGCAGAGGAGACUGGAAUUCCCGGUGUAGCGGUGAAAUGUGUAGAGAUCGGGAGGAACACCGGUGGCGAAGGCGGGUCUCUAGUACGGUACUGACGCUGAGACGCGAAAGCGUGGGGAGCGAACAGG
rnacentral:rRNA from 1 species